GGAGAGGUGUCCGAGUGGCUUAAGGAGCACGCCUGGAAAGUGUGUAUACGUUAAUAGCGUAUCGAGGGUUCGAAUCCCUCUCUCUCCGCCA
rnacentral:tRNA from 6 species